AUAGUGGCUGACACCCACCAAAUUCCCAUAGAUGUCCACGUCUGCCCCUUCAGGCUCUGCUCCAGCAUCUGGGCACGUCCAGCUGCCAGCCUCCCCCAAGCUCCAAAUCAUUCACCUUCUCCUAAGCUGGAACCACUCAGAUCUGGGGUAAGAAUGCUGGAUUAAAUUCUAGAUGAUCUGAAGCCUCACCACUUACUUGCUGUAUGAUUUGGGCCAAGCCUAUCUCUCUGAGCUGCAAAUCAUCUGGAAAGAGCUAGAGAAGAAGCACCAGGCGUCUGAAUCUGCUCUGUCCUCGACAAGACUACAGCCGACAUGUGAGUCAAACCCUGAGAGAACAUUAGGAGCACACUAAAUGAUUGAUGAGGCUGGAGCUUGGUCCUAGAAAAAACAUAAAAUCUUGACUUUCUGGGUCCGGGUCAACAGGAGUUAGUGAGAAGACAAAGCAUGGAACUCGGGUAAGGAAUUGACCUGGUGAAUUCUCCUACUGUUAACCUACUUGUGCACUUUCAUAAAAGCAAGUGCUUCCAUUGGUCUUCAAGUUAAUUUCCAAGUUGGUGCCAUGCCUAGUUAUGUAUUCCAACGUUUAGCCUUAGGAAACAUUUGCAGACUUGCAUUUUAUACACGGUCCAGGGCAAGGGUUUUAGAAUCACAGAGCUCAAGUCUCAAGCCCCAGCUUGGUUUCUUACUGAAAAGGUGAAUUUGAUGAUUUAACCCUCCCUGAUCGUUAACCUCAGCCUCAGAAUACUAAU
rnacentral:lncRNA from 1 species